GAUGAACGCUAGCGGCAGGCCUAACACAUGCAAGUCGAGGGGUAGAACACUUCGGUGUUUGAGACCGGCGCACGGGUGCGUAACGCGUAUGCAAUCUACCUUGUACAGGGGAAUAGCCCAGAGAAAUUUGGAUUAAUGCCCCAUAGUAUAUAACCUUCGCAUGUUGGUUAUAUUAAAGUUCCAACGGUACAAGAUGAGCAUGCGUCCCAUUAGUUAGUUGGUAAGGUAACGACUUACCAAGACGAUGAUGGGUAGGGGUCCUGAGAGGGAGAUCCCCCACACUAGUACUGGGACACGGACCAGACUCCUACGGGAGGCAACAGUGAGGAAUAUUGGUCAAUGAGCGCAAGCCUGAACCAGCCAUGCCGCGUGCAGGAAGACGGUCCUAUGGAUUGUAAACUGCUUUUAUACAGGAAGAAACAACUCUACGUGUAGAGUCUUGACGGUACUGUAGGAAUAAGGAUCGGCUAACUCCGUGCCAGCCGCCGCGGUAACAC
rnacentral:rRNA from 1 species